GAUGAACGCUGGCGGCGUGCCUAAUACAUGCAAGUCGAGCGAACUGAUCAGAAGCUUGCUUCUAAGACGUUAGCGGCGGACGGGUGAGUAACACGUGGGCAACCUGCCUGUAAGACUGGGAUAACUUCGGGAAACCGAAGCUAAUACCGGAUAGGAUCUUCUCCUUCAUGGGAGAUGAUUGAAAGAUGGUUUCGGCUAUCACUUACAGAUGGGCCCGCGGUGCAUUAGCUAGUUGGUGAGGUAACGGCUCACCAAGGCAACGAUGCAUAGCCGACCUGAGAGGGUGAUCGGCCACACUGGGACUGGGACACGGCCCAGACUCCUACGGGAGGCAGUAGUAGGGAAUCUUCCGCAAUGGACGAAAGUCUGACGGAGCAACGCCGCGUGAGUGAUGAAGGCUUUCGGGUCGUAAAACUCUGUUGUUAGGGAAGAACAAGUACAAGAGUAACUGCUUGUACCUUGACGGUACCUAACCAGAAAGCCACGGCUAACUACGUGCCAGCCGCCGCAGUAAAAC
rnacentral:rRNA from 1 species